AAGCAACCUCCCUGGUGAUGGGGGGCGGGGUGCUCGCGUCCAGACCCAUGAUGUGUACAAAGAGGAUAUCCACACUCAGUCUUGAAAACAGUCCGCAGCCUGUUUGCCAGAGGCAGGCCGGUGCCCCAUGGUCCUGGCAGCUGAGCCUCGUGCGCCAUCUAGGAGCAGAGGGCGGCACUGCAGGCUUCCCCCUUGGGUUGGCCUGGGCCUCCUGUCCUCGCAGACCCUUGGGGAGGAAACGCGCUGUGCUGGAGAGUGCGGCUAUGCAGACAGACUCCACCCCUUCACCCGCUGCGGGGCCUUGGGCAUUUUGUUCCCUUAUCUACAGAACAAGGAUUAUCAGGCCAGCCUUCCUGAGUGAAUGGAGGAUUAAAUGAGAAAAACUACAUAAUCUGCCUAUAACAUGCAGCCGAUAAACUUGUAACUUUUAUUUCCUUCUCCCACCACGCCAUAAACUGACUACACCCACAGACAAGUUACUGGGUGAGAGGAAGGGGAGGAGCACCUGCGAAAUGGAUUUGGGGAAGCAGAGGUCACAUACUGCUCCGCUGGUAGGGAGGGGAAGGGAAAGUGUAAAGCUGGAUGUGUCACAGGCCCUGAGUUCAAGCAAAUACACAGAAUGGUUGUAAAGACAAAUAAGGCAGGCUCUCGGGGAGAGUACUAGUGUAAAUAAGAAGGCAAGGUAGGUACUGCAUUAGACACGGGACAAAGUGCUCACCUAUACAGCUUUCCAAACUAUCAAACACCUCUCUCCAUCCCUG
rnacentral:lncRNA from 1 species